AUUGAACGCUGGCGGCAGGCUUAACACAUGCAAGUCGGGCGAGUGGCGGACGGGUGAGUAAUGUAUGGGGACUGCCUGAUGGAGGGGGAUAACUACUGGAAACGGUGGCUAAUACCGCAUACUAUCGGAUAACCCAUAUGGGAUUAGCUAGUAGGUGGGGUAAAGGCUCACCUAGGCGACGAUCCCUAGCUGGUCUGAGAGGAUGAUCAGCCAAACGGGAACUGAGACACGGCCCAGACUCCGACGGAGGCAGCAGUGGGGAAUAUUGCACAAUGGGCGCAAGCCUGAUGCAGCCAUGCCGCGUGUAUGAAGAAGGCCUUAGGGUUGUAAAGUACGUUCAGCGGGGAGGCGUUACCCGCAGAAGAAGCACCGGCUAACUCCGUGCCAGCAGCCGCGGUAAUUC
rnacentral:rRNA from 1 species